GGCGAACGCUAGCGGCAGGCCUAAUACAUGCAAGUCGAACGGUGUCUUCGGACAUAGUGGCGCACGGGUGCGUAACACGUAUGCAACCUACCUUACAUUGGGGGAUAGCCUUUCGAAAGGGAGAUUAAUACCGCAUAAGACAGUAGCUGGGCAUCCAGCAGCUGUUAAAGAUUUAUCGAUGUAAGCUGGGCAUGCGUCCAAUUAGCUAGUUGGUGAGGUAACGGCUCACCAAGGCAAUGAUUGGUAGGGGAACUGAGAGGUCAAUCCCCCACACUGGCACUGAGAUGCGGGCCAGACUCCUACGGGAGGCAGCAGUAGGGAAUAUUGGGCAAUGGACGCAAGUCUGACCCAGCCAUGCCGCGUGCAGGAUGAAGGCGUUAUGCGUUGUAAACUGCUUUUAUACAGGAAGAAACGACUCUUGCGAGAGGCAUUGACGGUACUGUAUGAAUAAGCACCGGCUAACUCCGUGCCAGCAGCCGCGGUAAUAC
rnacentral:rRNA from 1 species